rnacentral:lncRNA from 1 species
GGCAGCCGAAUGAAGAUGAUGAACUGGCCUAUGACUCCAUGAAGUACACACUAGUGGUGGAUGAGAAUACUACGCUGGAACUAAUCAGCCUCAGAAGGUGCACCUCCGUUCUGAGUGAUGACAGUGAGCUGUCCACGCUCUGUGACGAAGACCCUUUGAGGACGGGAGAGGUGGGGUACGGUCGCGAUGAUGUGGAGGUGAGGCCAGAAAUUCUUAGUUCUUCUGAAGGACUCCUCCCCUGAGGCUGACCUCCCGUUCUCCAAGAAGUUCCUCAAUGUGUUUGUCAACAGCACCUCCCGCUCCUCCAGCACAGAGUCCUUUGGACUUUUCUCCUGUACCAUCAAUGGAGAGGAGAGGGACCAGACACACAGGGCAGUCUACAGGUAAGACAAUCUACAGUACACUCAUUCUCGAUUAUGGGAGCGAUGUGAAUUACAGCAAAGAUCAGAUCCAUAAUAAAAGAUUGCAAAAAGAUAAUAGUUUUUAUUCUUUUAUAAUUGUAGAAACGGUAUUGUGGAAUAAAUUGUGAAUGCCAUUAGCUCCAAUUUUCAAAUGA